GGGUUGUGAGGUUAAGCGACUAAGCGUACACGGUGGAUGCCCUGGCAGUCAGAGGCGAUGAAGGACGUGCUAAUCUGCGAAAAGCGUCGGUAAGGUGAUAUGAACCGUUAUAACCGGCGAUGUCCGAAUGGGGAAACCCAGUGCAAUUCGUUGCACUAUCGUUAACUGAAUACAUAGGUUAACGAGGCGAACCGGGGGAACUGAAACAUCUAAGUACCCCGAGGAAAAGAAAUCAACCGAGAUUCCCCCAGUAGCGGCGAGCGAACGGGGAGCAGCCCAGAGUCUGAAUCAGCUUGUGUGUUAGUGGAACGGUCUGGAAAGUCCGACGGUACAGGGUGAUAGUCCCGUACACCAAAAUGCACAGGUUGUGAACUCGAAGAGUAGGGCGGGACACGUGGUAUCCUGUCUGAAUAUGGGGGGACCAUCCUCCAAGGCUAAAUACUCCUGACUGACCGAUAGUGAACUAGUACCGUGAGGGAAAGGCGAAAAGAACCCCGGCGAGGGGAGUGAAAAAGAACCUGAAACCGUGUACGUACAAGCAGUGGGAGCACCUUCGGGUGUGACUGCGUACCUUUUGUAUAAUGGGUCAGCGACUUAUAUUCUGUAGCAAGGUUAACCGUAUAGGGGAGCCGCAGGGAAACCGAGUCUUAACUGGGCGUUAAGUUGCAGGGUAUAGACCCGAAACCCGGUGAUCUAGCCAUGGGCAGGUUGAAGGUUGGGUAACACUAACUGGAGGACCGAACCGACUAAUGUUGAAAAAUUAGCGGAUGACUUGUGGCUGGGGGUGAAAGGCCAAUCAAACCGGGAGAUAGCUGGUUCUCCCCGAAAGCUAUUUAGGUAGCGCCUCGUGAAUUCAUCUUCGGGGGUAGAGCACUGUUUCGGCUAGGGGGUCAUCCCGACUUACCAAUCCGAUGCAAACUACGAAUACCGAAGAAUGUUAUCACGGGAGACACACGGCGGGUGCUAACGUCCGUCGUGAAGAGGGAAACAACCCAGACCGCCAGCUAAGGUCCCAAAGUCAUGGUUAAGUGGGAAACGAUGUGGGAAGGCACAGACAGCCAGGAUGUUGGCUUAGAAGCAGCCAUCAUUUAAAGAAAGCGUAAUAGCUCACUGGUCGAGUCGGCCUGCGCGGAAGAUGUAACGGGGCUAAACCAUGCACCGAAGCUGCGGCAGCGACACUAUGUGUUGUUGGGUAGGGGAGCGUUCUGUAAGCCUGCGAAGGUGACCUGUGAGGGUUGCUGGAGGUAUCAGAAGUGCGAAUGCUGACAUAAGUAACGAUAAAGCGGGUGAAAAGCCCGCUCGCCGGAAGACCAAGGGUUCCUGUCCAACGUUAAUCGGGGCAGGGUGAGUCGACCCCUAAGGCGAGGCCGAAAGGCGUAGUCGAUGGGAAACAGGUUAAUAUUCCUGUACUUGGUGUUACUGCGAAGGGGGGACGGAGAAGGCUAUGUUAGCCGGGCGACGGUUGUCCCGGUUUAAGCAUGUAGGCUGGUUGUCCAGGCAAAUCCGGAUAAUCAAGGCUGAGGUGUGAUGACGAGGCACUACGGUGCUGAAGUAACAAAUGCCCUGCUUCCAGGAAAAGCCUCUAAGCAUCAGGUAACAUUAAAUCGUACCCCAAACCGACACAGGUGGUCAGGUAGAGAAUACCAAGGCGCUUGAGAGAACUCGGGUGAAGGAACUAGGCAAAAUGGUGCCGUAACUUCGGGAGAAGGCACGCUGGUGUGUAGGUGAAGUCCCUGCGGAUGGAGCUGAGACCAGUCGAAGAUACCAGCUGGCUGCAACUGUUUAUUAAAAACACAGCACUGUGCAAACACGAAAGUGGACGUAUACGGUGUGACGCCUGCCCGGUGCCGGAAGGUUAAUUGAUGGGGUUAUCCGUAAGGAGAAGCUCUUGAUCGAAGCCCCGGUAAACGGCGGCCGUAACUAUAACGGUCCUAAGGUAGCGAAAUUCCUUGUCGGGUAAGUUCCGACCUGCACGAAUGGCGUAAUGAUGGCCAGGCUGUCUCCACCCGAGACUCAGUGAAAUUGAACUCGCUGUGAAGAUGCAGUGUACCCGCGGCAAGACGGAAAGACCCCGUGAACCUUUACUAUAGCUUGACACUGAACAUUGAGCCUUGAUGUGUAGGAUAGGUGGGAGGCUUUGAAGCGUGGACGCCAGUCUGCGUGGAGCCAACCUUGAAAUACCACCCUUUAAUGUUUGAUGUUCUAACGUUGGCCCCUUACCGGGGUUGCGGACAGUGUCUGGUGGGUAGUUUGACUGGGGCGGUCUCCUCCCAAAGCGUAACGGAGGAGCACGAAGGUUAGCUAAUCCUGGUCGGACAUCAGGAGGUUAGUGCAAUGGCAUAAGCUAGCUUGACUGCGAGCGUGACGGCGCGAGCAGGUGCGAAAGCAGGUCAUAGUGAUCCGGUGGUUCUGAAUGGAAGGGCCAUCGCUCAACGGAUAAAAGGUACUCCGGGGAUAACAGGCUGAUACCGCCCAAGAGUUCAUAUCGACGGCGGUGUUUGGCACCUCGAUGUCGGCUCAUCACAUCCUGGGGCUGAAGUAGGUCCCAAGGGUAUGGCUGUUCGCCAUUUAAAGUGGUACGCGAGCUGGGUUUAGAACGUCGUGAGACAGUUCGGUCCCUAUCUGCCGUGGGCGCUGGAGAAUUGAGGGGGGCUGCUCCUAGUACGAGAGGACCGGAGUGGACGCAUCACUGGUGUUCGGGUUGUCAUGCCAAUGGCACUGCCCGGUAGCUAAAUGCGGAAGAGAUAAGUGCUGAAAGCAUCUAAGCACGAAACUUGCCCCGAGAUGAGUUCUCCCUGAGACUUUAAGUCUCCUGAAGGAACGUUAAAGACGAUGACGUUGAUAGGCCGGGUGUGUAAGCGCAGCGAUGCGUUGAGCUAACCGGUACUAAUGAACCGUGAGGCUUAACCUUACAACGCCGAAG
rnacentral:rRNA from 1 species